rnacentral:rRNA from 1 species
CCUACGUGAGGCAGCAGUAGGGAAUAUUGCUCAAUGGGGGAAACCCUGAAGCAGCAACGCCGCGUGGAGGAUGAAGGUUUUCGGAUUGUAAACUCCUUUUGUUAGAGAAGAUAAUGACGGUAUCUAACGAAAAAGCAUCGGCUAACUCCGUGCCAGCAGCCGCGGUAAUACGGAGGAUGCGAGCGUUAUCCGGAUUUAUUGGGUUAAAAGGGUGCGGAGGCGGAAUGUCAAGUCAGCGGUAAAAUUUCGGGGCUCAACCCCGUCGUGACGUUGAAACUGGCGUUCUUGAGUGAGCGAGAAGUAUGCGGAAGGCGUGGUGUAGCGGUGAAAUGCAUAGAUAUCACGCAGAACUCCGAUUGCGAAGGCAGCAUACCGGCGCUCAACUGACGCUCAUGCACGAAAGCGUGGGUAUCGAACAGGAUUAGAUACCCGGGUAGUC